rnacentral:rRNA from 1 species
AAUGGGCGAAAGCCUGAUGCAGCAACGCCGCGUGCGGGAAGAAGGCCCUAGGGUUGUAAACCGCUUUCAGCAGGGAAGAAAAUGACGGUACCUGCAGAAGAAGGUGCGGCCAACUACGUGCCAGCAGCCGCGGUGACACGUAGGCACCAAGCGUUGUCCGGAUUUAUUGGGCGUAAAGAGCUCGUAGGCGGUUCAGUUAGUCGGGUGUGAAAACUCUGGGCUCAACCCAGAGAGGCACUCGAUACUGCUGGACUAGAGUGCGGUAGGGGAGCGGGGAAUUCCUAGUGUAGCGGUGAAAUGCGCAGAUAUUAGGAGGAACACCAGUGGCGAAGGCGCCGCUCUGGGCCGUAACUGACGCUGAGGAGCGAAAGCGUGGGUAGCAAACAGGAUU